rnacentral:lncRNA from 1 species
GUGUAUACAAAUAAUGAAUUAUGGUAAUUGACUUUGCGUUUCAAAUAUUUUCCAUUAUUCAGAGUCACGGUGUGAACAAGCGUAGAGUUUUGACGGAACGGGACAUGGAGACAUGUUUUCUGGUAAAGCGGCUUGCCUUGCACAUGUACACACACAUUCGCACUUGCAUAUUUUCCUCCGACUCCCAUCGGCAAAUCGAGAUUUGGACAACUGACUUCAAAUUUGAAGCCCAAGCAUGGCACUAAAAUCUACAUAGACUCACCGCGUACCUAUUUUAAUACCCGGUACUCGGAGUAAAGGGUAUAUUGUAUUUGUGCACAAUUCUUCAUUGUGGCCAUAAUAAUGAUCCAUACAGAUCCCAAUUUGGUGUCCUGAUAGAUAUGGUCAUUCCCUACGGAAUCUUUUGUCUUCAAAAUUGUAGAUUUGGGAGCUUUUCGCCCUUUUGCGGGGGCGGGGCUCAUGUUUGAAAUACACUUGUAACAGUGUGAGCAUACAGAAGUCUGGAUGCAAAAUUUGGUGGCUCUAGCUUUUAUGGUCUCUGGGAUCCAGGCGCUCAACAAGAUGGACGGACAGACAGACAUGGCUAUAUCGACUCGGCUAUUGAUGAUGAUCAAGAAUAUAUAUACUUUGUGGGGUCGGAAACGUUUCCUUCUCUGCGUUACAUACAUCAGUUAUUCCGCAUACAUUAUACAAUAUAACCUAUUUACUCUUCCAGUACCGGGUAUAAUAAGUUGAACUUUGUCUAACAUUAUUCAUUUAUUCAUUAUUAGUCGGCACUUUGUGCAUUGGAUCAGAAAUGGGCUCUAUUAAGGCAAUUAUUGGCGGAGAAGAGUUUUAAAGAGUUGAUUGAAUUUGCAGUUCAGAUAAAAAAGGGGGACGAAGCCUAUGCAAACACACUGCGAAAGGCUCUGGAUGGUUUGGGUGAAGUGGAUGUCGAAUUGAA